ensembl:lncRNA
UCGACCGUGUUGUUAAGAAGCACAACAAAAGACGAGUGGAUAUAAGUGAAUUCAGUCAGAUUUGAAAACGUUAUCAUUAUUGGCGUGGUUGAACUGAUUUAUACAGAAGAACUAAUCAGCAGGUUGAGUGAAGUACAGGGUAAGUGUGUGCAGCUGAUAUUCUCGAGAGUUGUAAAGUCUUGUUGUCCUGGACAGACCUUAGCAUUAGCUUUGCUACAUCCUCAUAGCUUGAAUACGUCACGCUAAGUAUGUUGACAGAAUGGCGAUAUAGUUAGCAGAUUAGCUCUCCAGUAACAGAUUUCUCCGGGUUUUCCGCUCGCUUACAUCUAUUUUAUUCCUCUCUCUCCAGAGACAGUGUUUAGUCAAGUAGUUUAUUAUUAUAAAAUUAAGUUCUUAAACCUUUUUAGUUAGCUAUCAUUCACGCAGUGGAGCAGCAAAUGGCUUCCAGCUACCUCACUAAAUAAUACUUCAAUCUAGAUUUGGUUUGCAGGGACAGUAUAACUUUUAUUAACGGAUCUUUUGUCCACUUCGAGGGUUAAAAUUAAUUAUUGUCGGUUUCAGAGAUUCAUAUUUAAGCGUUAAUACAGUCCUUCAGUGAACAGGUGCACAGCUGCUGUCUGUAAUGCUGUAUAAUAUGAAAUGAAUAUAAUUGGUUCGUUGAGUUACUUUGGCUUUAAUACAUUAAUACGUUUAUAUUUCAUAAUUGGUCCCUCAGAGCGUUUUGUACCUGUACGUUAAUAUAACAGUGUAUUUAUUGGGGGGUGCAUGGCUCUGAAGAAUUUCUUACUUUGUACUAUUCCAGGAAAAUGAUUAAAACGUUUUUGAUGACUCAUCCUGUACUACGCAUGUGUCCGUCCAAUUAAAUAUUCCCUACAAGGUAGACGCCCCGCCCCCAGGAAGGGCCUUAUGCGCCAUUGCUCUACAGUAGCAGCUCGUUAGCAGCGAACAUGGUUUGUCGGGUCGAAAAAUUGGUUCAGUUAUUUCAUGGGAAUUUUAAAUGACUGGAUUGUGACUGACAGCAUGCCUUUUGUGUAUCUUAAUUCACCUAAGUAAUAAUAUUUCACUAUAAUGUUAAUUGUGCAACCCCCACCCACCCCACCC